GUUGGAGACCUUAGGAAAUUUAAUCCUGUGGAACACUUAAAAGUAACACCUUCAGAAGAAAAAUUUCAGCUAUAUCUGUUGUCCUUUGUCCUAUCAUUGGUCAUCUGAGAAGGCUAGGCAAGACAAAACUGAAGUAGAGAGGCCACAGAUACCAAAAUGCAUGCACAGGAUCUGCAGAGAAGGCCUCUGGAGAGAGAAAACUGCAAGGAUUUUAGAAAUCUUUCUGCAAAGUCUUAGACUAUUUGCUGGAAUGGUCAGCAUCUGUAACAGCAUGAAUUGUAAAGUCAACAUCCACAGAGAGAACACACUGGGAAAUUUUCAAGAGUCUGGACAGCAGAUUUGGAGGUCAGCACAGGUCUUGGCCUGGGAAAUUUCUAGAAUAAUCUGAAAGAGGCAAAACUGUAACGAGCUUUUCAGCAGAGCUUGUAUAAAAACCUUGUAUUAAACUCUUUCCAUUCCAA